GACGAACGCUGGCGGCGUGCUUAACACAUGCAAGUCGAACGGUGAAGCUCCAGCUUGCUGGAGUGGAUCAGUGGCGAACGGGUGAGUAACACGUGAGCAACCUGCCCCUGACUCUGGAAUAAGCGCUGGAAACGGCGUCUAAUACUGGAUACGAGAAGGGUCCGCAUGGGCACUUUCUGGAAAGUUUUUCGGUUGGGGAUGGGCUCGCGGCCUAUCAGCUUGUUGGUGAGGUAAUGGCUCACCAAGGCGACGACGGGUAGCCGGCCUGAGAGGGCGACCGGCCACACUGGGACUGAGACACGGCCCAGACUCCUACGGGAGGCAGCAGUGGGGAAUAUUGCACAAUGGGCGAAAGCCUGAUGCAGCGACGCCGCGUGAGGGAUGACGGCCUUCGGGUUGUAAACCUCUUUCAGCAGGGAAGCAGCGAAAGUGACGGUACCUGCAGAAGAAGCACCGGCUAACUACGUG
rnacentral:rRNA from 1 species